rnacentral:rRNA from 1 species
AACGAACGCUGGCGGCAGGCUUAACACAUGCAAGUCGAGCGCGUAGCAAUACGAGCGGCAGACGGGUGAGUAACGCGUGGGAGUCUACCGUACCCUAUGGAAUAGCUCCGGGAAACUGGAAGUAAUACCAUAUACGCCCGAAAGGGGAAAGAUUUAUCGGGGUAUGAUGAGCCCGCGUUGGAUUAGCUAGUUGGUGGGGUAAAGGCCUACCAAGGCGACGAUCCAUAGCUGGUCUGAGAGGAGGAUCAGCCACAUUGGGACUGAGACACGGCCCAAACUCCUACGGGAGGCAGCAGUGGGGAAUAUUGGACAAUGGGCGCAAGCCUGAUCCAGCCAUGCCGCGUGAGUGAUGAAGGUCUUAGGAUUGUAAAGCUCUUUCACCGAUGAAGAUAAUGACGGUAGUCGGAGAAGAAGCCCCGGCAAACUUCGUGCCAGCCGCCGCCGUAAUAC